AAGUCCUCUUUUUGCCA
rnacentral:tRNA from 1 species